UACAGAGGGUGCGAGCGUUAAUCGGUAUUACUGGGCGUAAAGCGCGCGUAGGCGGCUUUGCAAGUCGGGUGUGAAAUCCCCAGGCUUAACCUGGGAACUGCAUUCGAGACUGCAUUGCUAGAGUAUGGGAGAGGGAAGUGGAAUUUCCGGUGUAGCGGUGAAAUGCGUAGAUAUCGGAAGGAACAUCAGUGGCGAAAGCGACUUCCUGGACCAAUACUGACGCUCAUGUGCGAAAGCGUGGGGAGCAAACAGG
rnacentral:rRNA from 1 species